CUGAACCAGCCAAGUAGCGUGAAGGAUGACUGCCCUAUGGGUUGUAAACUUCUUUUAUAAAGGAAUAAAGUCGGGUAUGCAUACCCGUUCGCAUGUACUUUAUGAAUAAGGAUCGGCUAACUCCGUGCCAGCAGCCGCGGUAAUACGGAGGAUCCGAGCGUUAUCCGGAUUUAUUGGGUUUAAAGGGAGCGUAGGUGGACUGGUAAGUCAGUUGUGAAAGUUUGCGG
rnacentral:rRNA from 1 species